UACGUAGGGGCGAGCGUUGUCCGGAUUUAUUGGGCGUAAAGAGCGUGUAGGCGGCCAGGUAGGUCUGCUGUGAAAACUCGAGGCUCAACCUCGAGACGUCGGCGGAAACCAUCUGGCUAGAGUCCGGAAGAGGAGAGUGGAAUUCCUGGUGUAGCGGUGAAAUGCGCAGAUAUCAGGAAGAACACCCGUGGCGAAGGCGGCUCUCUGGGACGUACUGACGCUGAGACGCGAAAGCGUGGGGAGCGAACAGG
rnacentral:rRNA from 1 species